UUUUAGUGGAUGGAAACUUUACCUUUUAAUUAGGAGUUUAAACACAGACACAACAGGAAGAAUACAUCCAUCAAAUCAAGUCUCUAAUAAUCAGCAUGUGGCCUUAUUUUAUUUCAUUUAAUUUGCACUUAAAUAUUCAGAUGAAUAAAUCAGCUGUUUGCUAUUUGACUUGGUCUGUUCCCUGCUGCUCCAUCAUUCUUUAGUGUUGGCUGGAAAACAUCAUC